UGUGGGGUGGGGGGCAGCCCCGAUGUAAAUAAUUAACGUGACGAAGUGAAGUGUGUAUAACAGAAAGGCGACGGCCCUUUGGUGACGUGUGGGUGCCCCAGGAGGUCGCUGGGCCGGCGCUGACCCGCGGGCAGCGGCGUUGGCAUUGAGCAGCCCGUGGUGUUGUGUGGGAGCGGGUAGCGGUCCGUGUGUGCCGAGGGUAGGAGGUGCUGUGUGAGGUGUGUAUAGUGUACAUUUCUAAAAUAGCUUGCUUGUAUUGUGAAGAUUUUAAAGACAAACUUGAGAAUUCUAGCCUAACUAUUAACACAAGUUUAACAUCAGUUACCCCACUGGGUUCAGAGCCUCUUGAAUGUAUAUUCCUUUUUGUAACCUAAAUGACCUAUUCUUCUACCAGUCAGCCAGACAUCCUAUUUAUAUUUUUAAUUUUAUAUAUUACUUUCCAUUCGUUUCCAUUAUUUCCAGCAUGUUCCUCAGUUUGGUUUCUUUUCGCUUCGUUUGGGGUUUCGUUUUCUUCCUUUUUGCACAAGCGACGAACCGUUCUCUCCAUCCCGGUGUUUUCCAACCUCUUUCCCCCCCCUUCCCCUUCUCCACCCCUGUUGUUUUUUCCUCCCACCGUCCGUUUGGGUUCUGCUGGGCCGGGAUGAGGCGGGGUGGGGAGGAGGGGACGGGACGGCUCGUUUUCCAUUUGCAGCUUUCUGUGCAAAUGCCAGGUCUUUUUUGCCGGUCCACUGCAAACGCUUCACUUGCUGGUUGCUUUAAACAAGGAAACUUAAAACAAAACAACAACAAAAAAAAAAGGUAACCUUAUCAGUCCGAGGAGAGCGCGGCGGGAGGAGGGAAGCGCACACCUGUAGGGACACCGCUCGGGCUGCAGGGCUGUGGCUGCUUCCCCCCCCCCCCCCACCUCUCCAGGGACCCCCACCAGGAGCUCACUCAGCCCCACAGCCGCCUGCGUGGGGUUUCCAGAGUCCAGCAGAGCCCGGCUGCUGCGGGGCCGCCCAGCCUGGUGGCUUUGUGCUGCAGGUAGAGAACACGCAUCUCUGCUGUUUUGCUAUGAACACUGGUCUGAGGUUUCCAGGCCCUCACCCACGGCCGUGGGCUGCGAAGGAUCCGAGUGGGAACCCGACUCCUGCCUGCUGCCGGGGCUGGGAGCACCAGCUGGUAUGAGUGAACCUACAGUAUAUUGUCAGUAUUCUGGUAUUCUUCUGGUUCAACAUACAUUAUAGCUCAUAUAUAACCUGUAUUAAUUGUAUAGAUUGUGCAUUUAAAGCUGUUACCAAGUUGUCAGAAAAUAAGAGAAGAGAAAAAGAAAAAAAAUAAGGUCAUAUGUAAUAUUUUGUUUGUAAGUAUCCUUUGUAUCAUAGCAAAGGAAAUGUUAAAAAAAAAAAAAAAUCAACUGUAAUAAAGUAAUUUUAGUACACGGAGUGUCUGCCUGCGUCCCUGGUGGGGCUGGAGGGUGGGGGCCCCACCGCUAUGGCCCCUUCUGGGGUUGGGGUCCCUCCCCAUGCACUGCUGCGGGGUCCCUGCAGCAUCCUGCAGCCAUCCUGGCUGCCAUGGCAACGGGAGGCGGCCUUGCUUUGCUCUGUUGCCGUGACAGCGGCGGUUGCAAUGGGGAUCGGGGAAUGGGGGCAGGAUGGAGGUGCUCCUGUGCCCAUUACAUCCGCCCUCUGCAGCCCCCGCCCUGCAUCAUAGAACGGCUGCGGGGCGGCGGGGGGACCCCCUGCCAUGCCACGGUGGGGGAGCGCGGGGUGAUGUUUCCUAAUGGAGGACACAGCCCAGCAGGGAUAGAGCAUUGCAGCAAGCCCAGCCCCCAGCCUGACAUUCAUUAACCGGCACGUUCUGCUGCUCUCAGCACAGCCAGCCGUCCCCACGCAGCGCUCCGAGUGCAGAGCGGCGCGCCCUG
ensembl:lncRNA